GGAAGUGGUUUGAGGUCUACCUGUUGUGCUUCCUUCUCAUCUAGCAAGGGUGGUUGUGCAACUUCAUAUUUCAACUCUUUAACUUGCAUAACUUGAUCUCCUAAAACUUCUUAAGUAGCAUCCAAAAUUUGAGCAAAGGCUGCAACUUCAGGAUUUUCUUCCUUUGUUAUUUUACUAUGUACCAAAUAAUUCACCAAAGGGUCUUCAGGAUAUCUUUUCCUAAAUUCUUCUUCCACAAUCUCAUCAAUAACAU
rnacentral:misc_RNA from 1 species